rnacentral:rRNA from 1 species
CCUGACGCAGCGACGCCGCGUGAGGGAUGAAGGUCUUCGGAUCGUAAACCUCUGUCAGCAGGGAAGAACGGUCACUGUGCUAAUCAGCAGUGAAUUGACGGUACCUGCAAAGGAAGCACCGGCUAACUCCCGUGCC